AACGGUCUAUACCUGCGGUACCUGCGGAGGGAUCAUUACCGAGUUUACAACUCCCAAACCCAAUGUGAGCGUUACCAAACUGUUGCCUCGGCGGGAUCUCUGCCCCGGGUGCGUCGCAGCCCCGGACCAAGGCGCCCGCCGGAGGACCAACCAAAACUCUUUUGUAUACCCCCUCGCGGGUUUUUUAUAUCUGAGCCAUCUCGGCGCCUCUCGUAGGCGUUUCGAAAAUGAAUCAAAACU
rnacentral:misc_RNA from 1 species